rnacentral:lncRNA from 1 species
GUAUUGUUGAAACUGUGAUUAGAAUAUUAUGGAAUAUGACUUUGGACUGACCGUUUUGAAGAAAAUCUGUAACCUUGAGAAUUGAGAUUAUCGAAUUGUAUUGUGUUAAGUGAAGAUAUUGAAUUUUGUGUGAUAAAUUGAAAAAUUGAAUAUAAUAAGUAAGUUGGAGAUCAAUAAUUGAAUAUAUAUAAACCACAAAGAGAAUAAGUGAGAGAUGAAUUGAUAAGAAUAAGGAAUUAUUAUUGAAUUGAUAGUC